ACCUCCUUUUUUGCUCCUUGUCUUCUUCUUCUUUUUCCUUUUCUUGCCUAUUUCCAUUUUCUCCUUCAGCUUUUCAGAUUAGGCAUGCUCAUUAUGAGUGAUUUGUCAUUGAUCGUCUAAAUUCUAACUUUCUCCUCGAGUAUCCCCUUAUUUGCCCUUCGAUAGCUCUGAGGGGUGAUUUGAGGCUUUCUUCAAUCUUGACACCAAGAGUCCAUUCUAGUCUAGGAGGACCUAGAUCAGAUUUGGAGGCAAAUUUUCAUUGCUCCUAAAUUUUCUUUAGAGUUGCUCAAUCCUGAUGAUCA
rnacentral:lncRNA from 1 species